rnacentral:lncRNA from 1 species
GUUGUGAAAUUACUGUAAUUUCAUUUCAGCUUGCUGAUGGUGGUAGUGUAGGAGAUCAUGAUCUGUCAUUUUCUGUUCCUCAGGAGAAAGCUGGGAACACACUGCCACCAUCCAUUUAAUCCUCCACUGGGACAGCAGUCAGAGGUUGGCCAUGUUGUUGUACAAAUCACUGAAGUCAGAAGGAGUCCACCAUAGCCUAUCACAUCACAGUGCAUGCCUGUGCCAAGUACAAGACAUCCAUCCUGGGCAGCCUGCUUUAUGUUCUGGCCCUUAUAACCCUUGCAAUGCUUUCACUGGGAGUCAGCACUCUGGAUUAAGUGGACACUUGGCUUCAGAUCCACCUUUGUGCCUCAGAGAAAUGGCAGAGAUUAGAUGCAGUGAAACAUUAAACUUGAAGAUUCUCCAUUAUGCUCUUUAG